CGUCACGCCGUGUUGCAUUAUGGGACGUGGGCGCCAUCUUUACAGGCACGGUCUCUCUGUUUACCUUUUCGCCGGCCGUUCCUAUGGCAUUUAAAAGUGGGUGUGUUUGGGUGAGACAACGUAAAAUUGAAGAAGAACGGAAUAAAUGGAGAAGUUGAAACAAAAAGAGAAGGGACCCUACCGGGAAAAAUUGAAUGCCGCUGCUAAAAAACGUUAUUUGGACAAACUUUCCGCCAUAAACAACGUCGAUCCAUAUGAUUUGGCAGCCCAAGACUGGAUUACGGAUCCAGACGCACUACCUCCUCUCACAUAUCCGGACAUCGUCAAUUACCUUAGCUGUGACUUUAGUUAUUUGUGUAUACUUACCGAUUUUAAAGGCAUCUAAAUAUUGUUUUUCACUUAAGUUCUAACCUAUUUAAUAUUUAUUUGUGCCUUUAUUUAUUCAGAUUAUUUUCUGUUUUUUUUUUUUUUUUUUUUUUUAAAUAAAAUAUUAAAAAUAAAAAAUACAAAUAUU